rnacentral:tRNA from 1 species
CUCUCCUUAGCUCAACUGCAAAGAGCAACUUUCUUCUAAAAAGUGGGUUACAAGUUGGAAUCUUGUAGGAGAGA